rnacentral:rRNA from 1 species
UAAGAGGUCCCGCCUGCCCCGUGACACCCAAGUUCAACGGCCGCGGUAUCCUGACCGUGCAAAGGUAGCGCAAUCACUUGUCUUUUAAAUGAAGACCCGUAUGAAUGGCAUAACGAAGGCUUAACUGUCUCCUUUUUCAAGUCAAUGAAAUUGAUCUUCCCGUGCAGAAGCGGGAAUAAUUACAUAAGACGAGAAGACCCUGUGGAGCUUUAGACACAAAGCAGAUCUGGCCAAUACUAACACCGCCUAGCUAAAAGAACCCUGCUCCAAUGUCUUCGGUUGGGGCGACCACGGGGAAACAAACAACCCCCACGCAGAACAAGAACACAUCCUCUUAAAAAUGAGAGACACCCCUCCAAAAAACAGAACCUCUGACUAUAUGAUCCGGUAAUACCGAUCAACGAACCAAGUUACCCCAGGGAUAACAGCGCAAUCCCCUUCAAGAGCCCAUAUCGACAAGGGGGUUUACGACCUCGAUGUUGGAUCAGGACAUCCUAAUGGUGCAGCCGCUAUUAAGGGUUCGUUUGUUCAACG